UUUCCGUAGGUGAACCUGCGGAAGGAUCAUUAGAGAAAUUAUAGAAAGUUGAGCUGGCCGAAAGGCAUGUGCUUGCUUUCUAAUUAUCUAUCCAUACACCUGUGCACCUUUGGGGAGAAUGGCCAGCUAGCCUCUAGCGAGUUAUUCUCCUCGUUUUUACACAAACUCUUAUUAUAACAUUGAACGUGAUCUAGUGCCGCAAGGCCUUAAUCAAAUAUACAACUUUUAACAACGGAUCUCUUGGCUCUCGCAUCGAUGAAGAACGCAGC
rnacentral:misc_RNA from 1 species